GUUGGCUGCCAGGAAGCAGCGAAGGAGGCCAGGCUGCAGGACAUGCUCAGGGGGUGCUGGGUGGCAUCUGAGUCCCGAGAGCAGAACUGUGUGGCCUCCCAUGUCCAGAGAGGAGGCACCUGAUGGAAGGACAAUAAUGAGCUGCAGUCAAUGGCAGUGAGGAGCAGGCUGCUCCUGGGAAAUGAAAACCCACGAAUCAAUGCCAGAAAAAUGACCAUCUCCACUCACCCUCGCCAGGAAACCAGCUUUCAACUCUCCCACCUUGGGCACAAGAGGCGCAGUGGGGCUUAAAUUCCUUAAGUUCUGUCUUCUCUUGGGGUGUGCUUCCUAUAGCUCAGGGCCAACUCAUUAAUUUAUCUGUCAGGAGCACUGAGGCGGCCACGAAACAUUGAUGAGGCCAUUAGGGCAUGAGGGUGGACGGUAAAGUGUGGUGGGGGAGCCUGGACUGUGUGCCCCUGGCGGUGGAUUUGGGGUGCAUUCCCAGCUCCCGAGCACGAAUGUGGCGCUGCUUCAGGCAGAUCAUCACACGCCGCUUGGAAGGCCUGAGUUAGGAUUAAUGGCCGGGCAUUGUGCAGCUUUUCAUCUCCCGCUUGUGAAUAUAUAUGAGCACUGUGUUCUCGCCGCAGCUGGAGUUAAAGAGCUGCCACCACCUCACUGAAGACUGGGAGAGAAACAUUCAGCUCAGAAGCA
rnacentral:lncRNA from 10 species